UGGAGGUGACGGGUCGAACCCGUGGCUUUCCGCAUGCGAAGCGGACACUCUACCACUGAGUUACACCCCC